AACGAACGCUGGCGGCAUGCCUAACACAUGCAAGUCGAACGAGACCUUCGGGUCUAGUGGCGCACGGGUGCGUAACGCGUGGGAACCUGCCCUUAGGUUCGGAAUAACUCCCCGAAAGGGGUGCUAAUACCGGAUAAUGUCUUCGGACCAAAGAUUUAUCGCCUUUGGAUGGGCCCGCGUUGGAUUAGCUAGUUGGUAGGGUAAAAGCCUACCAAGGCGACGAUCCAUAGCUGGUCUGAGAGGAUGCUCAGCCACACUGGGACUGAGACACGGCCCAGACUCCUACGGGAGGCAGCAGUGGGGAAUAUUGGACAAUGGGCGAAAGUCUGAUAAAGCAAUGCCGCGUGAGUGAUGAAGGCCGUAGGGUUGUAAAGCUCUUUUACCCGGGAUGAUAAUGACAGUACCGGGAGAAUAAGCACCGGCUAACUCCGUG
rnacentral:rRNA from 1 species